UCUGGUUGAUGCUGCCAGCGCAAAUUACUCUUGGUAAAGACUAAGUCAUGCAAGUUGAAUGAUCUUCGGAUCAUAGCGAAAAGCUCAGGAACACGUUGCUAACCUGCCCUAAAGUCCGGCAUAACCUCGGGAAACUGAGGAUAAUUCCGGAUAACCGAGGAACCCUGGAAUGGACCAUCGGUCAAAGAUUCGACGCUUUAGGAUGGGGCUGCGUCUCAUCAGCUAGUAAGCGGGGUAACGGCCCACUUAGGCGAUGACGAGUACCGGCACUUAUCGGUGUAGCCGGGAGAUGGGCACUGAGACAACGGCCCAGCCCUUAUGGGGUCCAGCAGACGCGCAAACUUUACAAUGCAGGAAACUGUGAUAAGGUUAAACCAAGUGAUCUCUUCACGGAGAUCUGUUACCUACUAUAAACCAGUGGGUUAGAAAGGAGAGGGCAAGGAUGGUGCCAGCAGCCGCGGUAACACCAUCUCUCCGAGUGAGUUGCUAUAUUAGGCCUAAAGCGUGCGCAGCCGGGUAAGGUAGUCUUUGGUGAAAUCUGGUCGCUCAACGAUCAGAACUGCUGGAGAAACCACUUACCUUGGAACAGGAAGAGGUAGUCGCUACUAUCGGGGUACUGGUGAAAAUAGCUGUAGAGGUAUUCUACGGCUAUCACAUUGGGUACAUCCUGAUGGGAGCACCUGUGGCGAAGGCGGACUACUGGUACUGCUUCGACGGUCAGGCACGAAAGCUAGGGGAGCAAAACGGAUUAGAUACCCGUGUAGUCCUAUGCCGUAAACGAUGCUCGUUAAGUGUGAGGGAAUUUUGGAUUCCCUUGUGCUGUUGUGAAGACUUUAAACGAGCCGCCUGGGGAGUACGUUCGCAAGGAUGAAACUUAAAGCAAUUGACGGGGCUCUACCGGAAUGCGUGAGACUUGCGGUUUAAUUGGAUUCAACGCCGGAAAUCUUACCUGAGUCGUUCAUACCUAUGAUUGCCAGCUUGAUGAGCUUGCGUGAAGUAUGAACUGGUGGUGCAUGGCCGAUCUUAGCUCGUGCCGUGAGGUGUACGCUUAAGUGCGUAAACGUAGCGAGACCCUCGUCGUCUAUUGCCAGCGAUUCCUUUUGGAAGAUCGGGAACCUUGACGAGAUCGCUUGCCGCUGAGGCAGAUGAAAGAGAGGGCCAAAUCAGGUCAGUAUGCCCCUUACACUCAGGGCCACACGCGAGUCGCAAUGGCCGGAACAGUGAGAUGCAACGUCGAGAGACGAAGCCAACCUCUAAAUCCGGUCUCAGUUGGAAUUGUGGGCUGUAAGCGCCCACAUGAACGUGGAAUGCAUAGUAAGGAUGUUUCAUUAUGACAUCCUGAAUACUCCCCUGGAGCUUGCACACACCGCCCGUCGCUUGAGGCGAGAAGGGUAUUGAUGAGGCUGUGGUCACUUUCGAGAGGCCGCAGACGAGUCUGUGCUUUUUGAGUAGCAAGAAGUCGUAACAAGGUGCCCGUACCGGAAGGUGCGGGCG
rnacentral:rRNA from 1 species